ensembl:lncRNA
UGGGACUCGAUCCUGGGACACGGGGUCACGCCCUGAGCCCAAGGCAGACGCUCAGCCCCUGAGCCCCCCAAAUGCCCCCCUUUUUGCAUAGAAUUUGAGAAUGAUUUUUGACUUUGAAUUGUACUCAUAUGCACCUCAGUAAGCUUUUACGUGACUCAUAGAAGAAAAGUCUGAGUGACAUAAGUGAGGAAACCGUUGAACAACCUCACAACCUCUCCUUCUGUAAUAGCUCUCAGAAAGGGGCCUCAAUAAAUUAAAACACUGAGAUUUCUAAUAACUUUAAAGGCAUCAUUGUGUUUUUCACUGCCUACGGUAACGGACACCCCAAAGGUGGGGGCGCCUGAGCUCAGUGUCCAGGGUUACCUUCCCCACACCCAUUCUACAGCAGUCGUGUAGUUUAGGUGGAAUUAACCCCUCCAUCAGCCCCAGGGCUCAGGUCUGAUUGUUAGGAUACAUCGGGAUCAUCCCACCCCCUUGCCGUGGACGUUGGCUUCAGUGGCCUUGGCUUAAGCCAAUCGAUGGCUGGGUCAGCGGGAAUCUCAGAACGUCUGUUAGGUAGUUGCGGAGAGCAACCUAUCUUUCCCAGAUAAGAAAAAGGAAGCACGUGAAUCUACUUGUACCGACAGAUAUCCUAUAACUUCAAGGGGUCCGGCCCUCGGGUGAAGCCCACACUGUCGACGGAAGAUAGAGCUCUGAAAAAAAAAUGGAAGCAACAGAGUCAACGAUGACAUCAUGGAGCUAACUGUUCUGAAACUCACACCCCCGGAGUUCCACGGAACCUAUUAACUCCGUCAUUGUUUAAGGUGAGGCGAGUUGGUCUUUCCGUCACUUGGAAUGGAGAGGCUUUCCAACUGAGGCAGAAACAUUGGUCUGUGGCACACCCCGAAAAUCACAUUAAAAUGAGCACAGAUGAUUAUGAAUGUUCCGAGUGGACUCCUUGCCGCCCACCUGGCUUAAGGACUGUAAGGCACUUCGGAAAUCAAAUUUCAGGAAAGAAGAUUGGUUUGAGAAACAAUGAACGAGGAGAAAUCUUCUCUUUGCAGAGCUGCUGUGUGUCAAAGUUUAUCCUCAUUAUAUUAUGGCUUUGACCAGGAGAGAAUAACUACAAGGAACUACUAAUUUACAAAAUGUGCAGAUGACCUAGUUUAUUCAUAACCAUAGGAGUUUUAAUUUAUUAAGCAACAAUUUAAUAUAAACAGUGCCUAGUAAUUCUAGUUCGCUGUGUGUUUCGUGGGAGAAUAAUGUAUUGCUU